rnacentral:misc_RNA from 1 species
CAAGAGGUUGCGUGUUGAUAUUUCAAUCCUAGGAUGUGUAGCCUGUAAUUAUUAAUAGGAAUAAAUAAGUAAUUAAAUACAUCCCGAUUGCCCUGGAUUGGAGUUACUAUGGUGAAUCUAAGCCGCGUGGAGUCCAUCAUUGGUGGAGCACACUUUGAUGCCGAAAAAACCGCUGUCGACGUCAUUUUAGGACGUGAAGGAAGUUUAACAUUAUCCGAGUUAGAAAAAGCCUCCGAAUCUGUGGAAAGUCGGAUUCGUAAUGAAGUUUCCUCACGCUAUGAUUCAUUAUUAGACUCUGCAACCAAGUUGAAGGAUCUUAGAGCCUCUGCAGAGGCCCUUAAAUCCCGAUCAUCCAUGUUAAAAGCUUCUGGGGAUCGAAUAAAAGCCAAAAUAUCGGAUCCAUAUGUUCGAAUACGCGAUCAAACAUUAACUUUGACUCGGAUGCAAAAUGCAUGUGAUUCUCUGCGGAGGGUUAUAAGGAUUUUACAGCUCAUUACUAAACUACAAGGAAAACUUGAGUCAUCCAAGGAGAUAGCGGGAGCUGCAGCGGCUUUAGCAGAAUUGUCUGAAAUCUGGACUCCUGAUCUGGAAGGAAUAGAAGUCCUAGAUCAAAAGGAACGAUUUGUACUCGGCGCUCGUCAUGAAGUAGAGCGUCUUGCGGAUGGUCUCCUCCAAACAGGGCUUCGUUCUCAAAAUCAAAGUUCCAUAGGAACUGCUCUUCAUGUCUAUUACAAUUUGGGUGUUCUUGAAACUGCCGUGAGAGAGAAAGUUCUUACCAAAGCUAUUAAGGACGUGGGAGAAAAAAUCAAUGAUUCUCUAAAUGCUAAAAAAAUUACAGAAUCCCUCUAUGAUACAGCUCCUCAAGGACAUAAUGGUGGAAGUGGUGGUCAACAAGCUGGUUCGGCUGUUCGAGCGUCUUCAUUGCUUCCCACUGGGAAUAUGCCUGCAUUUAGAGCCGUUCUUUGGAACAAUGUAGAGGGAAUCAGUGAGACAGUAUAUACAAAGACCCUUGAGCUAAUCACAACUCAAAGGAUUCUUUGUAAAAAAAGAGAUGCACUGACUCAUGUGUCUUUUAUUGAAACCAUGUCGGAAGGGUCUCGAAACAUAGUGGCUGAUUUUUGGGAAGCCAAUCUCAAGAAUCUCCGUGAAAACCUUGUGUCAGCAUCUGGACAUUCUCAUUUCAUUAAACAGUCUCUGGAAGGAGAGUAUCCUAAGUUGUUAAAGCUUUAUAAUGGAUUGUGGAAUCGACUCUGUCAAUCUGCUGCAACCUAUAGUAUGCAUCCUGGUGAACUACCCGUCCCUCUUAAAAAUCCGUUUGAUAGUUCAAUGUCCUCAACUGCGCUUCGUGACACUCUUACAUCAUUUGAAAGAGCUUAUUUGUCGAGAUCCUUGUCCAGAUUAUUUGAUCCAAUUGACCUGAUGUUUUCCAAGAGUAAUAGUGGAGCCAUGGAUGGAGAAGGAUCUACUCCACAGAGUAUUGAUAUAGAUAUACCCACUGAGGAAGAUAUUGCAGAACUCUGUGGAAUUGUUUCGAGUGAAUUGCAAAUCUCAGCCAUCGAUGAACGACUCAGUCAAGCUAUUAGUAAAAAUAUUGUUCAGGGAGUUCAUCUUUUUGCAACAAAGUGUGAGACAUUGUUGGUCACGGAUGGAGAGGCAUCCCAGGUCAUUGGAUAUCCUACAAGUGGCCAAAAGAGAAAUGUAAAAAUAGUGAAUACGCUCCAUACCUUUAAGUCUGGGAUAUUUAAUACAAUUGGAUCUUGGGAUCAUUCAUCUACUGUUAAAAGCUCUCUUUCACAUAUUGAUGUCGUGGCCAAUGCUGCCGUUGCACCUCUAUUCAGUUCUAUCCGAGAUGCCGUUGAAUCCAUUAUUUUAACUCUUCAUUCAGAACUGAGUAAAAAAGGUGUUGGAGGAGGAACGGAGCAGAGCUCAACAUCAUCUCUCUAUAUGAAGGAACUUCAAGCUUUUAUCUCUCGUGUCUCUGUGGAUUAUUUGAAUGGCUUUUUAUGUAAGGAAUUCAUUUCCUCCAAUAUCAAGCCCCUUGUAGACGAAACGAUUGAGCUCUUUAUUCUUCAUGCCUCUCUGGUACGACCUCUUUCAAAAGAGGCUCAACAUGCCCUUACGUCAGACUGUGCUCAACUAGAGUUAACAUUAGAGCCAUUGAGUCCCAAAAUUAAGUCUUCUGGACUCAGUUACGAUCGUUUGAGAGCUUUUAGAGCUCUACUCUACAUUCAACCCGAAGACAUGGUCAACUCUCUUCCACAAAUAGGGAGUGAAGUCCUUCCAGCAAGCACGGUUCUUCAUCAUCUUUUUUCCAAAGCCCCUUCCGAUAUCAAAUCCCCUCAUCAGAGUGCAGAUUGGAGUAUUACACGAUACUCUAAAUGGUUAGAGGAUCAUCCCUCAGAAAAGGAUCGACUCCAAUUGAUACAAGGUGCUUUGGAGAGCUAUGUCGCUUCCACGAGACAAAGAAAUGAUAAAUCCUACGCAUAUCCAUAUCCAGUCAUGCUAAAUAUUCUACAAAAAGUUAUGGCAUAAUUAAGAUUGUGCAAGUAUAUUAGGGUGGUUGGUUGGUUAUUCAACUUUUUUUCGAAUUUAUAUUAGGAUAGUAAAGAAAAGUUGUCAAUUGUAUUGUUCUACAAUGCAGUGAUGUUGGGGGCAUGAGGGCUACCACCACUUUUGAGGAAUUUUUAUAAAUCGUCAAAAGGGCGUAGGCCCCUAUUCUUUUGGCAUCGAUGUCCUUCUUAGGUCUCACAUCUUGAUCAAUCUUUGAAAAAGGAGAAAAAUUAUUUAUUUAGUAUAUAAAGAUAGUAAAAAAAAACUUUAUUAUCUUUUUUUUACUCCAUAGGAUAAAUUUAGAUAUAAAUAUGUUUUAUAAUUUAUAAAAAAAUCUAUCAAAAAUAUGUAUUGUAAAAUAAAGAAUUUGUACUUUAUAAAGGAAAAAUGAAGGACAUUUUUGAAUAACGAGAUUAUUUUCUUACCAAUUGACAACUUUUUCUCUUAACGAAAUUCGACUAAAGUAGAAAAACAAACCGCAAACUUAUGGAUUAUGUGAAAAGGACUUAUGUAAUUAGAAAAAUGAGUCAGCACUUGUCAAUAUCUUCCUUUACACAGUUAGGAUCGUCCAAGUAAGACCUACCGCAUUCCAUACUCCGUUGUUUCAUAAUGUGUUUCAAAGUGUGAUAUUUUUUCUUAUCGUAAUAAUAUUAGAAUAUAUAUUUUGUGUUGUUGAGUUCAAAUGCAUUCAAUUAGUACCUAGUACUUUUCAAACAAAUAUACAAAACCAAGGUAUUUUA